rnacentral:rRNA from 1 species
UACAGAGGUCUCAAGCGUUGUUCGGAUUCAUUGGGCGUAAAGGGUGCGUAGGCGGCGCGGUAAGUCGGGUGUGAAAUCUCGGAGCUUAACUCCGAGACUGCAUUCGAUACUGCCGUGCUUGAGGACUGGAGAGGAGACUGGAAUUUACGGUGUAGCGGUGAAAUGCGUAGAUAUCGUAAGGAAGACCAGUGGCGAAGGCGGGUCUCUGGACAGUUCCUGACGCUGAUGCACGAAGGCCAGGGGAGCAAACGGG